rnacentral:lncRNA from 1 species
UUAUAUUAUAUCAUUUCUCUAGCAGCAUUACAGCAGUGAUAGUGCAAGAGAUAAAAGUCAAAACCUAGAAAAAGGAGUUUUGGUCAAAAAUGGAUGUUUGUAUCUGAUUUGCAUUUCUGAAAUAUCUUUUCAAAAAGCACACAGGCAACUGGUGCUGAAUAAGGGAUUUCUAUGUCAGAAACACAGUUCUCUUAUCUCCCACUGAAGUGUUAAGGGUUCAAAAAAAUUACCCCUUCUUUUUCCCCAGUGUUCCUGAAAAAAAAAAAAAAAAAAGCCAUAUUUGGAAACCCAAACAGGUUUUCUGAAAGAGGGAUAAUCAUAUGAGAUUUCAUAAUAUUCCUGCAAGGGCUGUCACAUGGAGAUUAAUAGAUUUCUAUGCAGUUUCACUUCCAGUGUUUGCAAUACAUGCACUGAAGCUGUACAUAUGGGAUAGAUAUAAGAAUGGCUAAAUCCAGCACUGCAAGAUUCUCAACAAAAGGCCAGGCCCCGAAUUAUUUCUGCGAUCUCACACAUCCAUUUACGUCCACUUUCCCUAUGGGCAACUUAUGUCUGUGUAGAGGAAGAACAGAAGACACUGGUCUGCUUGAAAACGACACGGAUGGCACCAAAACAUUUUCUGACGUUUUAGUUUCUCAGGUUAGGGGCUGCCUUGCCUCCGAUAGGCAGCAUGCUGUGAUGGGGCAUGCAGCAGCACGCCGCUACAGGAGCCGAUCCUGAAGCAGAUGUUGCUGCCUGGAAAACCUCCUCGUCUGCGUUUUUUUUUUUUUUUUUUUUUUUUUUUUUUUUUUUUUUUUUUUUUUUUAUGGAACCAGAUCACUAAACUUGCAAAGAAAUUUGCAAGAGAUAAUUCAUGGGAUAAUAGAGGAGGGCUGGGAUGGGGAGCCCAUGACACGUGCCACAGGGCAGGUGAAGUUGAAGUACUUGUAUAUUCUUGGAAAAUGAUGCAACUGCUAACUCCAGAUACCUUAAUCUACAUGAUGCUGGUGUUAGGGGAAUGGUUGGACCAGAUGAUCUUGGAGGUCUCUUACAGCCUUAAUGACUCUAUGACUAUGAUUCUAUGAUUCUGCCAUAUUCCCAUUUUAUUCAAUCUGCUUUGCAAUGGGUUUAGACUAAAUCCAGUCUUCUGGAAUGAAAGGCAAUGCAAACUAACUAAUAAAACACAGUAUAAACUGUAACUUCCCA